rnacentral:rRNA from 1 species
CCUACGGGAGGCAGCAGUGGGGAAUUUUGGACAAUGGGCGAAAGCCUGAUCCAGCAAUGCCGCGUGAGUGAAGAAGGCCUUCGGGUUGUAAAGCUCUUUUGUCAGGGAAGAAACGGCCUGUUCUAAUACAGUGGGCUAAUGACGGUACCUGAAGAAUAAGCACCGGCUAACUACGUGCCAGCAGCCGCGGUAAUACGUAGGGUGCAAGCGUUAAUCGGAAUUACUGGGCGUAAAGCGUGCGCAGGCGGUUUUGUAAGUCUGUCGUGAAAUCCCCGGGCUCAACCUGGGAAUGGCGAUGGAGACUGCAAGGCUAGAGUUUGGCAGAGGGGGGUAGAAUUCCACGUGUAGCAGUGAAAUGCGUAGAUAUGUGGAGGAACACCGAUGGCGAAGGCAGCCCCCUGGGUCAAGACUGACGCUCAUGCACGAAAGCGUGGGGAGCAAACAGGAUUAGAUACCCUGGUAGUCCACGCCCUAAACGAUGUCUACUAGUUGUCGGGUCUUAAUUGACUUGGUAACGCAGCUAACGCGUGAAGUAGACCGCCUGGGGAGUACGGUCGCAAGAUUAAAACUCAAAAGUAUAAGUACGGACGAGAGAGAGACGACGACGACGACGAGGAGGAGGAGG